UACAGAGGUCUCAAGCGUUGUUCGGAUUCAUUGGGCGUAAAGAGCGUGUAGGCGGCCAUGUAGGUCCGUUGUGAAAACUCGAGGCUCAACCUCGAGACGCCGAUGGAAACCAUGUGGCUAGAGUCCGGAAGAGGAGAGUGGAAUUCCUGGUGUAGCGGUGAAAUGCGCAGAUAUCAGGAAGAACACCCGUGGCUAAGGCGGCUCUCUGGGACGGUACUGACGCUGAGACGCGAAAGCGUGGGGAGCGAACAGG
rnacentral:rRNA from 1 species